CAGUAGCCGCGGGAAUACGUAGGGUGCAAGCGUUAAUCGGAAUUACUGGGCGUAAAGCGUGCGCAGGCGGUUAUAUAAGACAGAUGUGAAAUCCCCGGGCUCAACCUGUGAACUGCAUUUGUGACUGUAUAGCUAGAGUACGGCAGAGGGGGAUGGAAUUCCGCGUGUAGCAGUGAAAUGCGUAGAUAUGCGGAGGAACACCGAUGGCGAAGGCAAUCCCCUGGGCCUGUACUGACGCUCAUGCACGAAAGCGUGGGGAGCAAACAGGAUUAGAUACCCCCGUAGUCCCUGUCUCUUAUAC
rnacentral:rRNA from 1 species